rnacentral:rRNA from 1 species
UCUACGGGAGGCAGCAGUGGGGAAUAUUGGGCAAUGGGCGCAAGCCUGACCCAGCAACGCCGCGUGAAGGAAGAAGGCCUUCGGGUUGUAAACUUCUUUUCUCAGGGACGAAGCAAGUGACGGUACCUGAGGAAUAAGCCACGGCUAACUACGUGCAAGCAGCCGCGGUAAGCCGUAGGAGGCAAGCGUGAUACGGAUUUACUGGGUGGAAAGGGGGUGUAGGCGGGAAAGCAAGUGUGAUGGGAAAGCCAUGGGGUCAACCCGUGGACUGCUCUUGAAACUGUGUUUCUUGAGUACAGGAGAGGCAGGCGGAAUUCCUGGUGUAGCGGUGAAAUGCGUAGAUAUUAGGAGGAACACCAGUGGCGAAGGCGGCCUGCUGGACAGCAACUGACGCUGAGGCGCGAAAGCGUGGGGAGCAAACAGGAUUAGAUACCCGUGUAGUC